GAAGAAUUAGUUAAUAAUAACAUUAGAUUGUCAAACUAAAGUAAUCAUAUUAAAUGAUAUUCCUCA
rnacentral:tRNA from 1 species